rnacentral:misc_RNA from 1 species
GAACGCACCUUGCGCUCCUUGGUAUUCCGAGGAGCAUGCCUGUUCGAGUGUCAUGAAACUCUCAAACCGCAUCUUUAUUGAUGUCGGGCUUGGACUUGGACGUUGCUGGGCUGACGCUCGGCUCGUCUCAAAUGCAUUAGCUGACUCUCCCGACUUCAGUUUUCGGCGUGAUAAUCACAUCUACGUCGAUGCCGUGAGGCGCUGGACCGGGGAUCAAACGGCUUCUAACCGUCCCUCACAAGGACAAUUUUCAUCUCAUUUGGCCUCGAAUCAGGUAGGACUACCCGCUGAACUUAAG